AUUGAACGCUGGCGGCAGGCUUAACACAUGCAAGUCGAGCGGAGAGAGGUAGCUUGCUACUGAUCUUAGCGGCGGACGGGUGAGUAAUGCUUAGGAAUCUGCCUAUUAGUGGGGGACAACAUUCCGAAAGGAAUGCUAAUACCGCAUACGUCCUGCGGGAGAAAGCAGGGGAUCUUCGGACCUUGCGCUAAUAGCUGAGCCUAAGUCGGAUUAGCUAGUUGGUGGGGUAAAGGCCUACCAAGGCGACGAUCUGUAGCGGGUCUGAGAGGAUGAUCCGCCACACUGGGACUGAGACACGGCCCAGACUCCUACGGGUGGCAGCAGUGGGGAAUAUUGGACAAUGGGCGGAAGCCUGAUCCAGCCAUGCCGCGUGUGUGAAGAAGGCCUUAUGGUUGUAAAGCACUUUAAGCGAGGAGGAGGCUACUUUAGUUAAUACCUAGAGAUAGUGGACGUUACUCGCAGAAUAAGCACCGGCUAACUCUGUGCCAGCCGCCGCGGUAAAAC
rnacentral:rRNA from 1 species